CGUGGAGCUAUUGAAUACACAUCGCCCCGUGAUCAAUUUGAUAGAUUAUUAACGUUUACUAAUACCUAAAGUUGAAUUACAAAAGUGUUUCGAAGUGUUUUGUGAAAGUUUAUCGUCGACUUUUUUAAUUUUAAAAAAUGACGUUGCGUUUUGAAACUGUGUUUUUUUCUGGAUCACACAGUUUCCAUAGAUGGAUAUUUUGGGUAUAUAUGGACCGAUUUAAUCGAAAAAAAGACCCAAUAGUGAUGUUUAUGGGACAUAUAGGAGUACCAACAAAGAAGCUCGUCAAAGGUCACACAAUACUUUGCUGUCUCCCUCAAGAGGUGACAGAGAUCAACAUCUCUAUCUCGGCCCAUCAACAACUAGAUUCAAAAACAUCUUUCUGGACUUGUGGGAUGGUGUGCAAGCACGAAAACCACUACCUUUCUCACUUUUCAUCGCCAUGUUCAUCUUUUGUUCCUGUGUGUGUUAGCUAUUGGGCUGCUUUAUUCCCCUGUAACCGGGGGCGGUGUCAGUGAGUCACAUAAAAUUAAAAUACAUAGAGCCGGGUUUCUCUCUGUCACUCAGAGAUCCUCACUGAACUUCUGGAGAGAGUUUGCUGCACUGAAAGUAAAGG
ensembl:lncRNA